rnacentral:rRNA from 1 species
GAUCAUGGCUCAGGACGAACGCUGGCGGCGCGCCUAACACAUGCAAGUCGAACGAGAGAGAGGGAGCUUGCUUCUUCGAUCGAGUGGCGAACGGGUGAGUAACGCGUGAGGAACCUGCCUCAAAGAGGGGGACAACAGUUGGAAACGACUGCUAAUACCGCAUAAGCCCACGGGUCGGCAUCGACCUGAGGGAAAAAGGGAGACAACUCCGUCUUUGAGAGUCGGCCUCGCCGUCCGAUUAGCUUAGGUUGG